rnacentral:lncRNA from 10 species
UUACUUGCCUCGUGCAGAGAUUCUAUCCACAAAACGUGCACCUUGCCUGGCUAGAGGACUGCCAUACACUCAAAGGCACUGAGCAACCCACAUUAAAGAAGAAUAAUGAUAGGUCCUACACCCUGGAAAAGCUGCUGCUGGUGAAUGCAUCAGUGCAGGGGCCUGAGCGGGUGCUCACCUGCAUGAUGGAACAUGAGGGACAGCCUCCCAAACGGGCUAACCUCGUACUGUCCACAGCAGCCCACACCGCUUAUAAGCCCAUUGGGAGCACAGCCCCUGCAUGCCCUGUGAUACAUUACCUCCAGCCCUCUCCAAGGGGUUCAAGUGGGGAGAGGCUGCAAGGACUUAUAGGUCACUAAAGACCCCUUUAUUCCGUCCCUGCCACCCCCAUCGCGGACACGCUCCCUUCCGCACACCCUCCUGGUGUUCCUUCCCUCAGAGCUUUGGAGCUGAGUCAGGGACGAGUUUUCUUCAUGAGGACUCCAGGGAUGUCUUGACCCUGAUGUACUGAGCUUCAGAUUGGCCCUGCUUCCAACCAAGAGAAUUAAACUGCUCAAGAAAAGAAGUUUCCAUUCUGCCCCUGGUCAUGAACAAUCCUUAAUUUUCAGAGCAGUUUUUACUUUUGUGCGGGGCUUUUGAAAAUAUGAUUUCAUUUUAACACACAUAUAUUUUGAAAUCACUGGGAAGUUGCAUAAGCAUUUUUCUCUUCUGAAAUGUACAGAAAAAAUACAAACAAUACCCAUGGACCUAACAUCCUAUCUUUUAAAAACAGUAACAUUUGCCAUUAUGAUCUUCAGUUCUUUAAAAACAAAAAACAAAAAACAAAACACUGUUCUGAAUUUAUCAUUCUCAAGCAUGGUUUUAUAACUUUAUAACAUAUGUAUGAAUCCUUAAGCAAUGUA